GGUCCCCUGUUUCCUAAGGGGCAGCUGUAGCCACCACCUCUGCUCGCAGCAAUAGGCCACGCAGCUGGACCGCGAAGCCGUGCAGCCGCGUCAGCAACUGUAGACUUCUAUGAGCCUUUGUGAAUUUUUAGGAGACAAAACAUGAAUUAUCUAAAACAUUUAGUGUUCCCUUUGCAAGAAACCUCUUGAGGGGCAGGUUUGCCAACCUGUUCUAUUCAACAAAAGAUGAGGUACACAAAUUCCAUGUGAUUUAACAAUUCCAGUUUACUAUCUAUCACACCUUCCCAUGUCUGUUAAAUGUUCACUAAAAUAAUAUACGGCAAAUUAUGUUGCCCUCUAUUAACCUCUGGAUGAUUUUCUUCCCAAUGAAGCUAACAUGCUUUUGAAUAGGGAUUAAAAAUUGGCAACUGCAGGCUGUAUGCAUAAGGCCAGGGAGGCAGCUUUCUGUUUUGU